rnacentral:lncRNA from 7 species
AAAUGUCAGCAUCUGAAGGGAUCACGAAGGAAGCAAGGCGAGCACCAACUACUCUUCCACCUCUCAGAGGUGCCUGCAUACACACAGCCUUGAUGCAACCCUGCUGCAGAUUAUAGACGUGUUUUGGUUGAGAUUCUCUGUGCUUGAUGCAUUGUCUGCCUGCAACGCAGGGCAAACUCUACUCCUCCCUUCUGGCCCGGCCUGUAAUGAUGGAUUAAGUAGAGUCUGCCCUCAGAAUUCAGGUCCUUCUCCAGGACUCUGGGAACCUGCCUGCGUGUGAUUGACGGCAUCACGUGAGCGUUUCAUCACUCUGAAUAAUGAGCCUACAAGCUGGCUGGGGAGCUCCCAAGGGACACCUGUGUGCAGGAGAUGGACACAACACGCAUCUUGGAUGGGCCAAUAGCUGGAGUGCUUUCUCUCUCUAAUUUUCUACAUCAGUGAGAACACAGAGCAGCACCAUCCAUCAUCGUCAGAGCCAUCCUGAGAAGCCACCUCCUGCCUCUCCAUCGAGGGACGCUGCACCUCUGUGUCCUGCACGAGGCCGCAGGUGUUGCAACACAUGGUGUUGCAGUAUGUCUGCUUGGAGCAGCCAAGGGUCAGAGAAUCAUUUAGGUUGGAAAAGACUAUGGAGAUCAUCUAUCCCAACCACAACCUUGAGCUCUCUUCCAGGCACGGUCUCCUGCUUGUAUCAACCCUGCUCCAGUGUUGUGCAGCUCUUGCUGGCUUCUGUAGUAGCUGCUUUGUUUACUUCCACAGUGCCUGCCCUUUAGGUAAUGAGCUAUAAUUCAUCCUGCUUUACACAGUGCUCAGAGGUACCUGGAGCAAGAAAGGUGUGCCAUUACAAGCACCUCUCUGGAGCAGAGGUUGCUGAUAUCCCGGAGCUGUACAAUGGGGAGGCAAUGGGGGAGGUGGAAAAGGGGAACAUUUCCCAUCCUCCAGGGUGAAGGUGCAGUCUGGGAGGCAGCAUGCAGGUGCAGAUGGAAGGCAGUGACAGGCAGACAGGGUGCAGGGAUGAAAGAUAGAUAUUUUUUUUCAACCUGCUUUCCUCUCUUUCCCUGCUUUAUAACCUGCUUUUAUAGAGACUGCACGAGGAACACACUUUUUUAUUAGCAGCUUGGGAGUGGAGAGUAAUAAAGAUUAAUUUUU